rnacentral:rRNA from 1 species
CCUACGGGGGGCAGCAGUGGGGAAUAUUGGACAAUGGGCGAAAGCCUGAUCCAGCCAUGCCGCGUGUGUGAAGAAGGCCUUCGGGUUGUAAAGCACUUUCAGUGGGGAAGAAAGCCUUGGGGCUAAUACCCUCGAGGAAGGACAUCACCCACAGAAGAAGCACCGGCUAACUCCGUGCCAGCAGCCGCGGUAAUACGGAGGGUGCGAGCGUUAAUCGGAAUUACAGGGCGUAAAGCGCGCGUAGGCGGUCUGAUAAGCCGGUUGUGAAAGCCCCGGGCUCAACCUGGGAACGGCAUCCGGAACUGUCAGGCUAGAGUGCAGGAGAGGAAGGUAGAAUUCCCGGUGUAGCGGUGAAAUGCGUAGAGAUCGGGAGGAAUACCAGUGGCGAAGGCGGCCUUCUGGACUGACACUGACGCUGAGGUGCGAAAGCGUGGGUAGCAAACAGGAUUAGAUACCCGAGUAGUC